rnacentral:rRNA from 1 species
GACGAACGCUGGCGGCGCGCUUAACACAUGCAAGUCGAACGGAAAGGCCUGCUUUCCCUUGUGGAUUGCGGGUACUCGCGUGGCGAACGGGUGAGUAACACGUGAGUGAUCUGCCCCCAACUUGGGUAUAAGCCUGGGAAACUGGGUCUAAUUCCCGACAGGACUGCAGGGUGGUGCCUGUGGUGGAAAACGAUUUUCUAGUGGUUGGGGAUGAGCUCGCGGCCUAUCAGCUUGUUGGUGGGGUAAUGGCCUACCAAGGCGGCGACGGGUAGCCGGCCCGGGAGGGUGGACGGCCACAUGUGGACUGAGAUACGGCCAAGACGCCUACGGGAGGCAGCAGUGGGGAAUAUUGCACAAUGGGCGGAAGCCUGAGGCAGCGACGCCGCGUGGGGGAUGACGGCCUUCGGGUUGUAAACUCCUUUCGACCGCGAGGAAGCCACCUGGUUGGAAGGGUGGUGACGGUAGUGGUAGAAGAAGCACCGGCUAACUACGUG